rnacentral:lncRNA from 1 species
UCCACAUGCUGCGAAAACACAAAAAGUGUCGGUCCAGCGACCAUGAUGAACGAGACGCGAUGGAAGUAGCGUACAGUCGUCUUCUGCGCUCACAUGUUUUCAGCAGCUAAAGCAGCUGCUAUGGCUGCAGAUUCAUCCUUGUGACCUUUAGAUUGAGGCACGUAGUGUCUCAAGGACGUUUGAUCGAUCCCAAGCAUCCACUUCCCCUUUCCCAUUUCAGAAUAGGGUCGAAAAUCCCAAAAAGGUUGGUCUAUACAUUUUGAUAAAAGUUUUGGGGGUGUUUUUUUUGUAAUUGAAAGUGAAUUAUGGAAUUUCCAUGGAUACCCUUUUCCCUCCAAAAAUUGGUUACACUAAUAUUCCUCCUAUAUAUUUUCUCUUCAUCUCGUUGAUAGAACUAAGGGGAGACGGAAAAAGAAGAGAAGCUGUUUGAGAAAAGAUUUCUUUGAGAAAAGUUUUUCUUCAGUAGAACAUUGCCUGGCAAGAAGAUAGCAAGAAAGACAGUAAAGAAAGUUAAAAAAAUUAUACACUAAAUGCAUCUGAAAGAGAGGAGUGAAUAGCUUAGAGCUUAGUUUAGUUUCACAUCCAAACUUCCGUUUUCUUGGUCGGAAACUCAAGUUUUUCAAUCUGGCGGUGAGAAACUCGUCUUCUUCAACUCGAAUUCUCGUCCCCAUUCGCUACCCAGAAAAAGGUAAUACUUCUUGGUGUAGUAUUUUGAUGUUAGCAAAGCUUUUUCAUAUGGCUGUUUGGGUUAGAUACUGAUGUUAGCGAAGCUUUUUCAUAUGGCUGUUUGGGUUAGAUACUGUUAGUUUGUUGAUAUUUAGAUAUGGUUUAUAUGUUCCUAGUUAUUCCAUCGCUUUGCUCAUGAUAUUGAGUCAAAUUCAUGGGUUUAUGGCUCAAUAUUAUGAUUUUAGUUCAUUGAGAUUGAGUCUGCUGCCAUUUUCUUGUACUGCCAAUAUUGUUAGUUGGCGAGAAAUGAAGCAAAAAAAUUUGAAAUUUGUUGUUGCAAAAGCUGUUUUUUAUGUUAUUAACUAGGCAUAGAAUACAAUGGCUCAUUCUUCCCCAUCUGUUGAUUAUCCGUCUACUUUUUAUUUUGUUCCAAGUUUUUCUUGUGCUUAGCCUCAUUUCAAGGUAGUCUAAAUAUUUUGUUUAAGCUUUGGAGUUCAACGGCUUCUUCUUUGUUUCCACUUUGUGUUUUUUUAAUUUUUUUUAAAGAUGGUUAACAAACAUUAUAAUCGAGUUGAAUUUUUUUCUCUCUUCAUCAAAAUGUGAUCAUAUUUCUUUGAAUUUGAUGGUUUUAUGAGUCGUUUUAUUGUAAAGUUCUUCAUUGACCUUGAGCACGAUUAACAACGGCUUGUUGUUGAUUGAUUCAAUUAGGGUCAUGCUCGGACUUACGCGCUUACUGUGAAUGUUCUCUUUAUAUCUAUACUCGUUUUCUUACCUAGUCUAUUUACUUAUGCAUAGGCAUACAUAUUCUUAAUUUUUUUCUUUUUCUCCAAGCCUGGACUUUAAAUAAGUUUUGGGUAGGAUUCUUAAGCUAAUAAUAGUUUUUGAUUAUCUCGAUAUUUAGUUUUCUUGUUACUUUUAAAUCAACACUAACUGUGGAAUGUUUAUUGCUUAAUUAUCAGUGAUUCAUUUUUGUGUCGUUAAAAAUCUAACAAUAGACAUUUACAAUAUCUUUUCCGAUCUGUGGUUUAUUUUCAGUUUAUUUCAUUAAUCUCGUAUGCUAAUUUUCUAUUUUAUUUCCUCUGUUGUUAUGAAAAUUUACUCCCGGCUUGCAAUGAAUUCCAUUUCCCUUCCUUGAAUCCUCUUGUAGAGGCGAUGUUGAAACCUUUAUCCAGUCAAUCAUCCAAAAUCGGCGGACAGAUUUUGGAGUAGAAAUAGCUUGAACAAGUCGAAGAAAUUGAAGGAUUUGUGUUAGAGAGUCCAAAAGUUCUUUUUUAUUUUCUAAGUUGUCAUGUUUUGUCGUUUUUGGGCCUAAGCCCUUGUCGUUUUGUCUUCCAUAUUUUGUAUUGUUGUAUGAUUAUAGACUAGAACAUGUACAAAAUAAAGUGAACCAAAAGCCCAAAACAAAGCGGGUCCAAAUACCGAUCCAGGCGGACAGAAAUUGGAUUUAGACACAAUCCUCUCUCUCUCUCUCUCUUUACUCUAUCAUUUACUUAUCUGCUUUUAUUUGUUUCUAGUUCUAAGGUCAGAU